UGGGUGAUUUUCAUGAUAAGGCGUGUGAGCGGAGGGCAUCGCACGUAAAUAACUUUGGAUCUGCCACCCCCCUAAACCUCGGAUUUGGCCAGUGUUGCGGCGAUGUGAUGAAAUUUCUUCGAUUUGGAAAUGGUUAGUUUGGGUCUAAUCGGUGUCUAGAUGAUCCACAGAAUCGAACUGAUAUUGAGGCAGUAUAAUGAAACUCCUCUCUAGACUUUAUGGAGGUGUCCAUGAUCACUCAGGGUGUGAUGGUGGCCAAAAAGCCGGAUUCGAUGAGGGUGUCACCAUAGGAGAUACCAGUGGCACCGGCUAGAAGGGCGUGAGAAAGGUUUGGACCACUUGGAUUACGAUCGUCAGAUAUUAAACUUGUUGGAAGAGUUGACCGAAUUGGUCAGCUGUGACUGGCACCGACUGGGCUGAUUGAACCAGUGGAAGGACGAUCGAUUGAACCGAUGGAGAGAUUUUUGUCACUGACGGUUAAACUUGAUUGUCAGCCUAGCUGGCCGCCUAUCGAAAAGCGGUGAUAUUAAAAAAUUAGAAAGAUGUCUGUCUUUAAGCCAUGAAUGCGAAGGUAGAUCCUUCCUCUAUCUGUUGUUACUUAAAUCGAUCAGAGUCGAAAGAUGG
rnacentral:lncRNA from 1 species